rnacentral:rRNA from 1 species
CAGCCGUAAACAAUGUGCGUUAGGUGUGUCGGUAACCACGUGUUACUGAUGCGCCGAAGAGAAAUCGUGAAACGCACCACCUGGGAAGUACGGUCGCAAGGCUGAAACUUAAAGGAAUUGGCGGGGAGCACCACAACAGGUGGAGCCUGCGGUUUAAUUGGAUUCAACGCCGGACAUCUCACCGGAUAAGACAGCUGAAUGAUUGUCAAUCUGAAGGUUUUACAUGACUAGCUGAGAGGUGGUGCAUGGCGUCAGUGACU